rnacentral:rRNA from 1 species
CGAAAGCGUGGCUAAUACCGCAUACGCCCUACGGGGGAAAGCGGGGGACCUUCGGGCCUCGCACUAUUGGAGCGGCCGAUAUCGGAUUAGCUAGUUGGUGGGGUAACGGCUCACCAAGGCGACGAUCCGUAGCUGGUUUGAGAGGACGACCAGCCACACUGGGACUGAGACACGGCCCAGACUCCUACGGGAGGCAGCAGUGGGGAAUUUUGGACAAUGGGGGCAACCCUGAUCCAGCCAUCCCGCGUGUGCGAUGAAGGCCUUCGGGUUGUAAAGCACUUUUGGCAGGAAAGAAACGGCGCCAGCUAAUACCUGGCGCUAAUGACGGUACCUGCAGAAUAAGCACCGGCUAACUACGUGCCAGCAGCCGCGGUAAUACGUAGGGUGCAAGCGUUAAUCGGAAUUACUGGGCGUAAAGCGUGCGCAGGCGGUUCGGAAAGAAAGAUGUGAAAUCCCAGAGCUUAACUUUGGAACUGCAUUUUUAACUACCGGGCUAGAGU